rnacentral:ncRNA from 1 species
CCAGCGGGACGACCCGAUGGUGUGCUUGCCAACCCGGGGACGGCCUCG